rnacentral:rRNA from 1 species
AGAGUUUGAUCAUGGCUCAGAACGAACGCUGGCGGCGUGCUUAACACAUGCAAGUCGCGUGCGCAGUUUCCGUAGCAAUACGGGGAUGGGCGCACGGCGCACGGGUGCGUAACACGUGGGCAAUCUGCCCUCCGAUGGGGAAUACCCCCGCGAAAGCGGGACUAAUUCCGCAUAACAUUCCUUGGAUUAACUUUCGAGGAUUCAAAGCAGCAAUGCGUCGGAGGAGGAGCCCGCGCCCGAUUAGCUAGUUGGUGAGGUAACGGCUCACCAAGGCAAUGAUCGGUAGCUGGUCUGAGAGGAUGGCCAGCCACACUGGAACUGAGACACGGUCCAGACUCCUACGGGAGGCAGCAGUGGGGAAUCUUGCACAAUGGGCGAAAGCCUGAUGCAGCGACGCCGCGUGGGGGAUGAAGCUUUUCGGAGUGUAAACCCCUUUCGACUGGGACGAAUGCCUCGCAAGAGGAGUGACGGUACCAGUAUAAGAAGCCCCGGCUAACUACGUGCCAGCAGCCGCGGUAAGACGUAGGGGGCCAGCGUUGUUCGGAAUUACUGGGUGUAAAGGGUUCGUAGGCGGUGUGGCAAGUCGGGGAGUGAAAUCUCUGGGCUCAACCCAGAGACUGCUUCCGAAACUGCUGUGCUUGAGUGUGAGAGAGGCUCGUGGAAUUGCAGGUGUAGCGGUGAAAUGCGUAGAUAUCUGCAGGAACACCCGUGGCGAAAGCGGCGAGCUGGAUCACUACUGACGCUGAGGAACGAAAGCUAGGGGAGCAAACAGGAUUAGAUACCCUAGUAGUCC